UACAGAGGUCUCAAGCGUUGUUCGGAUUCAUUGGGCGUAAAGGGUGUGUAGGUGGCGCGCUAAGUCGGGUGUGAAAUUUCGGAGCUUAACUCCGAAACUGCAUUCGAUACUGGCGUGCUUGAGGACUGGAGAGGAGACUGGAAUUUACGGUGUAGCGGUGAAAUGCGUAGAUAUCGUAAGGAAGACCAGUGGCGAAGGCGGGGUCUCUGGACAGUUCCUGACGCUGAGGCACGAAGGCCCAGGGGGAGCAAACGGG
rnacentral:rRNA from 1 species